AACACACAUGACUGUAAAUCGCUUUGGAUUAAAGCGUCUGCUAAAUGGCUUAUA
rfam:Salmo salar isolate Sally breed double haploid chromosome ssa18, whole genome shotgun sequence.